GACGAACGCUGGCGGCGUGCCUAAUACAUGCAAGUAGAACGCUGAAGGAGGAGCUUGCUUCUCUGGAUGAGUUGCGAACGGGUGAGUAACGCGUAGGUAACCUGCCUGGUAGCGGGGGAUAACUAUUGGAAACGAUAGCUAAUACCGCAUAAGAGUAGAUGUUGCAUGACAUUUGCUUAAAAGGUGCAAUUGCAUCACUACCAGAUGGACCUGCGUUGUAUUAGCUAGUUGGUGAGGUAACGGCUCACCAAGGCGACGAUACAUAGCCGACCUGAGAGGGUGAUCGGCCACACUGGGACUGAGACACGGCCCAGACUCCUACGGGAGGCAGCAGUAGGGAAUCUUCGGCAAUGGACGGAAGUCUGACCGAGCAACGCCGCGUGAGUGAAGAAGGUUUUCGAAUCGUAAAGCUCGGUUGUAAGAGAAGAACGAGUGUGAGAGUGGAAAGUUCACACUGUGACGGUAUCUUACCAGAAAGGGACGGCUAACUACGUG
rnacentral:rRNA from 1 species